GAAAGUAAGAAAGGGCGUAUGGCGGAUGCCUAGGCUCACGGAGGCGAUGAAGGACGUGAUAAGCUGCGACAAGCCCUGGGGAGGUGCAAAUGACCUUUGAUCCAGGGAUUUCCGAAUGGGACAACCCGGCAGUCUGAAGGACUGCCAUCCGGACAAAAGUCCGGAGGCGAACGGAGGGAACUGAAACAUCUUAGUACCUCCAGGAAGAGAAAAUAAACAAUGAUUCCCCCAGUAGUGGCGAGCGACCGGGGAAGAGCCCAAACCGGUGUUGUCAAGGCAACGCCGGGGUUGUAGGACCGCGCUGUGGUACUUUUAUCGUGAACAGAAGGGACUGGAAAGUCCCGCCGUAGAGGGUGAAAGCCCCGUACGUGAAGCGAGCGAAGGCCUAGCGGUAUCCUGAGUAAGGCGGGACACGAGGAAUCCUGCCCGAAUCCGCCGGGACCAUCCGGCAAGGCUAAAUACUCCCGUGAGACCGAUAGUGAACCAGUACCGUGAGGGAAAGGUGAAAAGCACUUCGACGAGAAGAGUGAAAGAGAUCCUGAAACCAU
rnacentral:rRNA from 2 species